GACUUUUAAAACCCACUUUGUAAGGAAGGAGCCCAGGAGACCUCCAGCACUUUUCUGCAGAGAAAUACUCACAGGGAGAGACUGUCGAGUGAGAUGGGGCCAGGGGGCUGCCUGUGACUGGUUAUCUUCCAGGCCAGCAAGAGGGCAGGGGCCAGUGCUACACAGCUGUCUUACAAAAGAUUUUACUUCACUUUGAAAAAUCUACCCGUCUUGGUACAUACGCAGCUGCUUCAUUAGUUGUGACUCUGCACAGCAUGAAGUUUAUACCCACCUACUCCGAUGACAGACAGGGAGAAGCAAAAAGCUGAGCGCAAUACUGCAACAAGGAAUGUUAUGAGGGAAGGCAUUUGUAGAAUGUGAUACUUUGAAGAUAUAAUUGAUAAUUUUUUUUCUUUAAAGAGCAGCUAAAACAUAACACUGUAUCCAGGGUUUGAUUAAUUUUUUUCCAUCAUUUUAUUUUUAUCUGUCUAAUAAAUGAUCCACAACUUCAGGCCCCAUUUGCUUCCAGCCUCUUGUUAGGUUUUUUGUUUUUGUUUGUGUUUUCUUUUGGUGUUUCACUAAUCAUUCUUCUUAUCCUCUCAAGACGUUGUCAUGUUACUCCACUUUUC
rnacentral:lncRNA from 1 species